rnacentral:rRNA from 1 species
UACAGGGGGUGCAAACGUUGCUCGGAAUCAUUGGGCGUAAAGCGCACGUAGGCGGUUCGUUAUGUCGGAUGUGAAAGCCCUUGGCUUAACCGAGGAAGUGCAUCCGAAACUGGCGAGCUAGAGUACGAAAGAGGAUCGCGGAAUUCCCGGUGUAGAGGUGAAAUUCGUAGAUAUCGGGAGGAACACCGAUGGCGAAGGCAGGUCUCUGGGCCGAUACUGACGCUGAGGAGCGAAAGCGUGGGGAGCGAACAGG